rnacentral:rRNA from 1 species
AACGGCCGCGGUAUCCUAACCGUGCGAAGGUAGCGUAAUCACUUGUUCUUUAAAUGAGGACUAGUAUGAAUGGCACCACGAGGGUUAAGCUGUCUCCUUUUUCUAAUCAGUGAAACUAAUCUCCCCGUGAAGAAGCGGGGAUCGCCCUAUAAGACGAGAAGACCCUAUGGAGCUUAAAACAAAUUAACACCUGCUUCUAUCCACUCUCCUUCCUGAAUUAACACAUAAAAUAUAGCACUCUUGAUUAAUAGUUUUCGAUUGGGGUGAUCAUGGAGCAAAAACCAACCUCCACGACGAAAAGGAGCACUUCCCUGAGCUAAAAGCUACAACUUUAAGCACUAAAAAAUUAACGCACUUUGACCCAAAUUUUUGAGCAACGAACCAAGUUACCCUAGGGAUAACAGCGCAAUCCAUUUCAAGAGCCCCUAUCGACAAAUGGGUUUACGACCUCGAUGUUGGAUCAGGGUAUCCCAGUGGUGCAGCCGCUACUAACGGUUCGUUUGUUCAACGAUUAAAACCCUACGUGAUCUGAGUUCAGACCGGAGAAAUCCAGGUCAGUUU